UACGUAGGGUGCAAGCGUUUGUCCGGAAUUAUUGGGCGUAAAAGAGCUCGUAGGCGGUUUUGUCGCGUCUGGUGUGAAAAUCCAGGGCUUAACCCUGGACCUGCAUCGGGUACGGGCAGACUAGAGUGCGGUAGGGGAGAUCGGAAUUCCUGGUGUAGCGGUGAAAUGCGCAGAUAUCAGGAGGAACACCGGUGGCGAAGGCGGAUCUCUGGGCCGUAACUGACGCUGGAGGAGCGAAAGCCAUGGGGGAGCGAACAGGA
rnacentral:rRNA from 1 species